GCGGCUCGGAGCCCACGGUCGCUAUAGCCAUCGGGACUGCUACCUGGCCGCUCUAGGGCUCGGUCUACCUGAGGCCUGAGGCUGGAGCCGGGAGGGAGGCCUGGAGGGCUUCCCGCUCUCACGUCUCACGCGGCGUGCGGGCAAGACGGUGCGCGUCUGGAGUCGGUGGCGGCUAACGGCGGGCAGGUUGUAAGGGGGGUUCCCGCGGGUCCCCUGCCGGCACGGGGCUGCCUCCAGGCCCCGGCUGCGCGCCCUCAGCAAGAACCGCGCCCUACGGUCCUGGGGCGCUUGACGUGCGCAGUCCGCAGGCAUUGCUUACUGAACCUUGGAGCCAACCCCCUAAAGGAACCAGUUGCAGGGACAGGUUGCUGAAGCUGGCCUCGAACUUGCGAUCAUCCUGCCUCAGCCUACCAAGUCAUUAGAAUUUCAGUAGGGCAUGGUAAAAAUAAUUUUAAGUAAGUAAAUUUGAAACAUUUACAAAAUAUUGGGUUUGGGGCUUCUUAACAGUUAAAGAUGCUUGGGGUAGGGGCACAGAGGUCCUGUUUAAACUUCCUCUUCUGUCUGAAGAACUUAACUGAAAAGCCUUCCCCUGUUUUGUUUUGGCACAGCAUUUCCAGAGGCGGAACUGGGACUAGAAUUUUCACCAUUUUCAUGUCAGUGAGUGACAACUGAUGGACCAUUUCUAUGGUUAAUAAUUAAUCCUUUGUAGAUUUCCUAGUAUAUAAAAAAAGAAAUAGCCUGACCACUAUGAUGUCCUCUUUCUGUUCCUUUUUGUUGGAGGUUUGACAAGUGAUUUUUCAUAAUACAGAGAGUAUAUAAGUAGCUCCUUUUUCAGCUUGGAUUGUUGAGUAGAAAUACAACGGGAAUAGAACUAGAAUGUAUCCAAGUUUGUCCCCCACCACCUUUUUCCAUAUUAAAAAUACAUCUGUCCUUUGUUAGAGUCCUCGUAGAGCCUAAUCUCUUGGCUGAUUACCUCUCCCAUCAUAUAUUUAACAAAAAACAGGAUCUUCCCAGGGCCCUGCCUGAAGUAAUGAUUCUAAUAAUGAGAAAUUUCAGGUCCUGAGGGGAACUGGCGUGGAAGAUAUUUUGGAGAAGAGUACUGAAUAUCAUUUCUAGCAGUUCUGUUCCCCUAGCCACCGACAACAUAGAGGGCUAGUGUUCCUCAGACAUUUAAAAAAAAUAGUUGGGCAUGGUGGUGCACAUCUGUAGAGAGCUCCUGGGUUCCACAAAAAAAUAACAACAAGAAAAAAAUUCUCUAGCAGAAAUUUUGUAUGGUUCGAUUCUCAUAUUCCUCAUUCAUUUCCCAUAAUUACUGUAUUACUAAACUAUAUAAAUAAUUAAAAUUUUUAUUGAGGAUACACCUCUUAAUGAGAAAUUUAGUGUUUCUACCCAAGUAGCUCAGGUAUCAUGGAUGAAUAUUAUUCAAUGAUAGGAAGAUAUAAGGUAAGACAUCAAUUCUCUCUCUCUCUCUUUUUUUAAUAGACUUAGUGUUGAGAAACCUUGUUCACAAAAUUGGAAAAUGAAGAGAUUUGUUACAAUGAUAUUCCUCAAGUCUUUGAACUUCUAAAUUGUAUGCCAACAAUCACAAUGAGAUCUAUUAUCAAAUAUUGUCAAAAAUAUUCCUUUAAUUUUAUUAAAAGCAAAGAAUUGGAAACCA